rnacentral:rRNA from 1 species
AAGGCCUACGGGGCGCAGCAGUGAGGAAUAUUGGUCAAUGGUCGGGAGACUGAACCAGCCAAGCCGCGUGAGGGAUGAAGGUACAGAGUAUCGUAAACCUCUUUUGUCAGGGAACAAAGGCGGGGACGUGUCCCCGGAUGAGUGUACCUGAAGAAAAGCAUCGGCUAACUCCGUGCCAGCAGCCGCGGUAAUACGGAGGAUGCGAGCGUUACUCGGAAUCACUGGGCGUAAAGAGUGCGUAGGCGGGGUAAUAAGUCAGAUGUGAAAUUC